rnacentral:rRNA from 1 species
ACAUACUGAACUGUCGACCAGUUGUGUGCUGGUCCUCGAAGGGGGCAUGUGCACGCUCUGUUUACACAUCCACUCACACCUGUGCACCCUCUGUAGUUCUGUGGCACUGGGGACUCUGUCCUCUUGCUGUGGUCCUACGUCUUUACACACACACCGUAUUACAGUCUCAUGGAAUGUAUGUCGCGUUUAACGCAAUACAAUACAACUUUCAGCAACGGAUCUCUUGGCUCUCGCAUCGAUGAAGAACGCAGCGAAAUGCGAUAAGUAAUGUGAAUUGCAGAAUUCAGUGAAUCAUCGAAUCUUUGAACGCACCUUGCGCCCUUUGGCUAUUCCGAAGGGCAUGCCUGUUUGAGUAUCAUGAACACCUCAACUCUCAUGGCCUGCCAUGAUGAGCUUGGAUUUUGGGGGUCUUGCCGGCCUAACCGUUGGCUCCUCUCAAAUGAAUCAGCUUGCCAGUGUUUGGUGGCAUCACAGGUGUGAUAACUAUCUACGCUUGUGGUUCUCCACCAGGUAACCUUCAGCAAUGGAGGUUCGCUGGAGCUCACAGACGUCUCUCCUCAGGGAAGACAGCUUUUUGAACGUUUGAUCUCAAAUCAGGUAGGACUACCCGCUGAACUUAAGCAUAUCAAUAAGCGGAGGAAAAGAAACUAACAAGGAUUCCCCUAGUAACUGCGAGUGAAGCGGGAUGAGCUCAAAUUUAAAAUCUGGCGGCCUCUGGUCGUCCGAGUUGUAGUCUGGAGAAGCGUUUUCCGUGUGGACCGGUACAAGUCUAGUACG